rnacentral:lncRNA from 1 species
CAGUCAGCACUCUGUGUCUAGCUUAAGAUUUGUAAACACACCAAUCAGCACCCUGUGUGGAGGGAGAGGCGCAGGUGGGAACCGGGGCUGAGGGCAGCGUUCGUGGGCCAGUGCAAGUUCCAGGUGGGUGUGGGCUCAGCAGGCCUCGCACUCAGAGCGGCUGGCCAGUGCUGCCAGCCCUGGGCAGUGAGGGGCCUAGCACCUGGGCCAGCAGCUGCAGAGGGUGCGCCAGGUCCCCCAGGAGUGCCAGCCUGAUGGCACUGUGCUCAAAUUCUUGCUGGGCCUCAGCUGCCUCCCCACAGGGCAGGGCUCGGGACCUGCUGCCCACCAUGCCUGAGCCUCCCCUCCCCACUGUGGGCUCUUGUGUGGCCCAAGCCUCCCCGACGAGCACCGCCCCCUGCUCUGUGGCGCCCGGUCCCAUUGACCAACCAAGGGCUAAGGGGUGCAGGUGCACGGUGUGGGACUUGCAGGCAGCUCUGCCUGUGGCCCUGGUGU